UACGAAGGGGGCUAGCGUUGCUCGGAAUCACUGGGCGUAAAGCGCACGUAGGCGGAUCGUUAAGUCAGGGGUGAAAUCCUGGAGCUCAACUCCAGAACUGCCUUUGAUACUGGCGACCUUGAGUUCGGGAGAGGUGAGUGGAACUGCGAGUGUAGAGGUGAAAUUCGUAGAUAUUCGCAAGAACACCAGUGGCGAAGGCGGCUCACUGGCCCGAUACUGACGCUGAGGCGCGAAAGCCAGGGGAGCGAACGGG
rnacentral:rRNA from 1 species